rnacentral:rRNA from 1 species
ACGGUUGAAUAACUGAGUAGGAACGAGCACCUAACUGAGAGAUAAGCUCCGGGAAUCCGGAGUAUAAUCCCACAUAUGGUCCUCACAUUAAAGCUUCGCCGUUUGGGAAGUGGCCUGCGUAAGAUUAGUUAGUUUGUGAGGGUAAAUGCUUACCAGGACAAUGAUCUUUAGCUGGUUUGAGAGGAUGAUCACCCACACAGGAUCUGAGACACGGUCCCAGACUUCUAGGGAGGGCAGCAGUAGGGAAUCUUCCACAAUGGACGAAAGUCUGAUGGAGCAACGCCGCGUGCAGGAAGAAGGCCUUCGGGUCGUAAACUGCUUUUAUGUUUGAGGAUUAUGACAGUAGGACAUGAAUAAGGAUCGGCUAAACUCCGUGCCAGCAGCCGCGGUCAGACGGAGGAUCCAAGCGUUAUUCGGAAUGACUGGGCGUAAAGAGUUGCGUAGGUGGUUUUUUAAGCGAAGUAUGAAAUCUUAGGGCUCAACCCUGAAAUUGUGCUUCGACCUGAAAGACUAGAGUAUGGUAGAGGUAAUUGGAAUUUCUAGUGUAGGAGUGAAAUCCGUAGAUAUUAGAAGGAACACCAAUGGCGUAGGCAGAUUACUGGACCAUUACUGACACUGAGGCACGAAAGCGUGGGGAGCGAACGGGAUUAGAUACCCCGGUAGUCCACGCCGUAAACGAUG